AGUGUCGAGAAGGACAUAAUGCCAGAGUGUCCAUAAGCUGGUUGGGGCGGUAGUGGAAGUCGUACUUGCCAUGAGUUUGGAGAAAGACAUUUUUCCAUGGAAUGCCCACAAGGAGGAGGUGGGAGUCAACCUCGUAGGUGUCAGAAGAAGAGGGCCAUGUGGCAAAGGAUUUUCCACAAGGAGAUGGCAUUGGUGGCAGCAAGUGUUACAUUUGUCACAAAGCUGGCCACACCUUGAAAGGCUGCCCGAAUCUGUUCAGUGAAUUGACGGAAGACGGAAAGCCUUGUGAACAAUACAUUCCGGAAGCUGUGACAUGCGAUGAAAAGGAACUGUUUAGGGGGAUUGUCUGUGGGGAAUCUUUAACAAUUUUGAUAAAGUCACCCACCAGGUUACAGGAAAAGAUGUACCUCAAUACAUAACAUCAUUCGAAGAAGCCGGCCUGCGCCCACUACUACUUCAAAACAUUAAGAAUUCUGGCUACAUAAAACCAACACCUGUACAGAAAGCUUCAGUUGCAGUUAUUCUUGCCAAAGAGAUUUGAUUGCUUGUGUUGUCACGGGCUCCGGCAAAACGGCGGCGUACUUGGUACCGGUUAUGAACAUAUUGUUAGAACAAGGUGUUGCUGGUGCGUCUCGCACCAUGGUUCAAAAGCCAGAAGUUGUAAUUGUCACACCCACUCGUGAAUUUUCGAUUCAAAUUCACCGCGGGGCGUGUAAAUUCUCCUACAAUUCGGUUUUAAAAUCUGUCAUUAUAUAUGGACGAACUGUCACUAGCCAUCAGCGGUCAAAUCUUCAAGCUGGGUGCAAUACUCUUGUCGCGACCACGGGGCGACUCGAGGAUUUUCGCGACCGUGGAGUAUUUUACUUCUUGACGGCCAGUUAUUUAAUUUUGGACGGAGCUGAUCGAAUGCUUGAUAUGGGUUGCGGUCCCAAUAUUGAAAAAAUUGUCAACCAUCCAACGAUGCCUCCGAAAGGCUGUUCUCGAUGGCUUUUGAAUGAAGUGUAAGCGCUGGCUGCGAGUUACAUUGAAGACCACAUAUUCGUCACAAAGGGCACUGUCGGUGGCACCAAUCCGGAUGUUGAAGAGCUGUUUUUCCAGUGCUCGAAAAGAGAUAAGAGAGCUAAGCUGAUCGAAGUUUUACAAGACCUCGGUGGUGCCAAAACUAUCGUUUUUGUCGACAGCAAAAAGACCGCGGAUUUCGUCGCUGCAUUCUUGUGCAAUAACAACUUACAAUCUACCAGCAUCCAAUGUGAUCGUCUUCAGAGUCAGCUGAGCAAGCGCUUCGUGACUUCAAAAAUGGUAUUAGGAAUAUUCCCGUAGCCACUAACGUUGCUACCCGUGGUUGUUGCUGCCCGUGGUAAUACUUUAUGGGUUCUUCGUUCGUUUUUUACGUAUUUGAUGUUUGUAUUGUUUUUCUUUGAUAUUGCCAGCGUCAACUAUGUCGUAAAUUAUGACU